rnacentral:rRNA from 1 species
AAACCGACACAGGUGGGCAGGAUGAAAAUUCUAAGGCGCUUGAGAGAACUCAGGAGAAGGAACUCGGCAAAUUAACACCGUAACUUCGGGAGAAGGUGUGCCCCGGUAGCGUGUAGAGACUUGCUCUCGAAGCGCGAUGGGGUUGCAGUGAAAUGGUGGCUGCGACUGUUUAAUAAAAACACAGCACUCUGCAAACACGAAAGUGGACGUAUAGGGUGUGACGCCUGCCCGGUGCCGGAAGGUUAAGUGAUGGGGUGCAAGCUCUUGAUCGAAGCCCCGGUAAACGGCGGCCGUAACAAUAACGGUCCUAAGGUAGCGAAAUUCCUUGUCGGGUAAGUUCCGACCUGCACGAAUGGCGUAACGAUGGCCACACUGUCUCCUCCUGGGACUCAGCGAAGUUGAAAUGUUUGUGAAGAUGCAAUCUACCCGCGGCUAGACGGAAAGACCCCAUGAACCUUUACUGUAGCUUUGCAUUGGACUUUGAACCGGUUUGUGUAGGAUAGGUGGGAGACUGUAAAGCCGGGACGCUAGUUUCGGUGGAGUCAACCUUGAAAUACCACCCUGAUUUGUUUGAGGUUCUAUCCUUGGUCCGUGAAUCCGGAUCGGGGACCGUGCAUGGUAGGCAGUUUGACUGGGGCGGUCUCCUCCCAAAAGGUAACGGAGGAGUACGAAGGUACGCUUGGGGCGGUCGGACAUCGCCCACAAAGUGCAAUGGCAAAAGCGUGCUUGACUGCGAGACCCACAAGUCGAGCAGGUACGAAAGUAGGUCAUAGUGAUCCGGUGGUUCUGUAUGGAAGGGCCAUCGCUCAACGGAUAAAAGGUACUCUGGGGAUAACAGGCUAAUUCCUCCCAAGAGUUCAUAUCGACGGGGGAGUUUGGCACCUCGAUGUCGGCUCAUCACAUCCUGGGGCUGUAGUCGGUCCCAAGGGUAUGGCUGUUCGCCAUUUAAAGUGGUACGCGAGCUGGGUUUAAAACGUCGUGAGACAGUUUGGUCCCUAUCUGCCGUGGGCGCUGGAAAUUUGAAGGGGGCUGCUCCUAGUACGAGAGGACCGGAGUGGACGAACCUCUGGUGUACCGGUUAUGACGCCAGUCGUAUCGCCGGGUAGCUAAGUUCGGAAGAGAUAAACGCUGAAAGCAUCUAAGCGUGAAACUCGCCUUAAGAUAAGAUUUCCCGGAGUCUUGAACUCCCUGAAGGGUCGUCGAAGACCACGACGUUGAUAGGUCAGGUGUGGAAGCGCAGCAAUGCGUUAAGCUAACUGAUACUAAUUGCCCGUGCGGCUUGAUC